CUACUGAUGCUGUGAAGUAUCAGGAUGGAGGCACAGAAGUCAGCCGAUGCCGUAGUAGGUUGGUCACCGCCAACCGAAGGGC
rnacentral:ncRNA from 1 species